rnacentral:lncRNA from 1 species
AAAGGAGAGAUUUCGGUGCGUCUGAAAUCGAAAAGGCCACUUUCCUGCUGAUACAUCAGCUUCUGUUGCAUCGACAGGAGAAAAAAACAUGAAUAUAGAACUAUUAGUAUGCAAAAGAAAAUUAAAAAUAAAAUAGAAAGAUGAAGAACUGACAGAAGCUUCAUGUGCUAUGCGUUUAGCGAUAUCAGAUGUUCGUGAAUAUCGAAUAACGGGCCUCCUUUUAAGAGCCAAAAAGAUGGCUGCAAUUCCAUCUACGAUUCGAUCACAGUAAGUUUGUAGCUUUGGAGGGUCUACGACAGCAGGGAGCAUAUACAUAUGAUUUGAUGGUGUGUUCAAAGUGAAAUGGUAGGGGUCUAGUGCGACAAAAUCGGCAAAAAACUCCUGCACUUGUUGAACAACUUCAUGUUCGUCUGAAUCCGCUAAGAUAUGGAGCUGAGUAGUAUUCAACAUAUUUGAAAAAACUGCAACAAAUAAAAAAUAAUUAUACAUACAAUGCUGCAGAAUGAAUUGAAAGAUGAAAUCGAGGUUUAGAGGAAGUUGUUUACAAAGAAAAUAA